GGAUUAGAUACCCUAUUAUUUGUGAUGUAAAUUAUUUAAACUUGAGUAGUAGUAGUUAUGAUCUUGAAACUUAAAGAAUUUGGCGGUAUUUUAGUCUAUUUAGAGGAAUCUGUUCCGUAAUCGAUAAUCCACGUUGGACCUUACUUAAUUUAUUUAUUUGUAUACCGCCGUUACUGAAGAUUUUUUUAGAGUUAUUUUUAUAAUAUUUUUGGAUAGUAUUUCAGGUCAAGGUGCAGUUUAUAAUUGAGUGGAAAUGGAUUACAAUAUAUUGUUUUAUACGGAUUAUUUUUUGUAAUAUGAAUAUGAAGGUGGAUUUAAUAGUAAUAUUUUAUAUAUUAUAAAUAUGAUUGUAGCUCUGAAAUAUGUACACAUCGCCCGUCGCUCUCGUUAUAUUGAAAUGAGAUAAGUC
rnacentral:rRNA from 1 species